CACUGUGGAAGGCCGCAGGGUCCUCUGCCUAGGAAAGCCAGGUAUUGUCCAAGGUUUCUCCCCAGUGUUAAGUCUUACACCUGCCCACUCAAGAGGCAGGAGUUAAUCCCAGAGGUCUGUGUCCUAAUGCAUUAUGGCAAAUGGAUGUCACGCAUGUCCCUUCAUUUGGAAGAUUGUCAUAUGUUCAUGUAACAGUUGAUACUUAUUCACAUUUCAUAUGGGCAGCUUGCCAGACAGGAGAAAGUACUUCCCAUGUUAAAAAACGUUUAUUGUCUUGUUUUGCUGUCAUGGGAGUUCCAGAAAAAAUCAAAACUGACAAUGGACCAGGAUAUUGUAGUAAAGCUUUCCAAAGAUUCUUAAAUCGGUGGAAAAUUUCACAUACAACAGGAAUUCCCUAUAAUUCCCAAGGACAGGCCAUAGUCCUUGGGUGCAUGGCUCCAAAGAAAAAGUUCGAUUAAAGGAAAGUGGUUUAAGGACAAGGAAAUGGCUAGAAAAUGGAAAGUCUUGGAAACAGAGCCAGUUGGGGGUUGGGAGGGCGGUGCUGGUGAACAGUUUAGGCCGAUUGUCUUUUUUUCUAGUGUUUGCUGGCUUCUGCCCCCUCAUUUGGCAGUCACCUGCCACUGUGACCUCCCCAAGACCCCUCUCCAAACUCUAUACCUUGAUUUCUGGUGUCCCGGAAAUAGAGACCAGAAACACUGAUGUCCCACUCCAACGAUAGAGCAGAAGGAAGGAAGGUUUCCCCUGUGGUUUAGAACGUUCCUAACGAAAAUAACUGCAACUCUUGAUUGCACCUCCUGAGGGUCGUUGGGACUUUCCCUCUCAGACAUUUAUUGGUUCAUUCAUUCGUUCAUUUUGCUGUAACUCACAGUGGCCCCCAUCCUAAGGUGCACUGCUGGGAUUGGUCUAUGUGCUGAUGAUGUUCUCCUUGUCUUCAGAGUAGAGACGGAGUUUCACCGUGUUAGCCAGGAUGGUCUCGAUCUCCUGACCUCGUGAUCCGCCUCGUGAUCCUCCUGAUCCUCGAAGCCGCCCGCCUCGGCCUCCCAAAGUGCUGGGAUUACAGGCGGGAGCCACCGCGCCUGGCCGUUCCCUGGGUCUUUUGAGUGGUGUGAGUUGAAUGGUGGUAGAUUCUAGGACAGUUCAGUAGGAGCCCGUCCUCAAAAGGAAAAUAACAGAACUUCCUGCUAAUCUGGUAUUGGGGCUGAGCAAUUACUGCACACUGAUGAGAUUGACCAUAAUUGCAUCCUGAGUUUGAAGAGGAGGUCACGCUACUAAGACGAGAUAAAAUCAGCUCCAACGACAAACAUCAUCUCUGGGGGUUUCCAGAUUCUCAAUUUUCAUUUAAUCCCCAGCCUUAGUGGAAAGCAAGAGUCGGAGUCGGCAUUCUGGGCAGGGAGGCAGGUGAGGCAGGUACACAUCUCCUCUUCUCCCCAACGCCCCAUGUUUCUAUUUCUGAAUAAAAUGAACCAUCAUGGUGCUAAGGUAAAGCUAAACUAGCUGAGCCACCUCCUGAAGAGGACAUUGCUUUUUUUUAUUUGAUGAGAUUUCUUUCCCUUCUGUUACCAGCAUCUCCAUCCCUUUGGGAAACUGACUCUUAAUAACAGAGUUUUUUGUACUUUUAAACUUUGUUUUUGUGUAGUCAAAUAUGUACAACAUAAGAUAUGCUGUUUUAUCCAUUUUUAAGUGGACAGUUCAGAAGCAUUAAUUACAUCGACUAUGUUGUGCAACCUUUCCUGCUAUUUAUUUCCAAAACAUUUUUCAACAGAACAAAUAAAAACACGGUACUCAUUGUAAAAUAA